rnacentral:siRNA from 1 species
UCAAGGUGGCUAUAGUUUCC